rnacentral:rRNA from 1 species
CGAGAUAUAGGCAGGCAAAAGAGGGAUUUUUGUCGUUUGUGGAUCACUUGGAUAAACGCAACAACAUGGGUAUAUAAAGUAUUCGAUAGUUAUAGUAAAUUAAUACACAACCUGUACAAGAAUAAAUUGAUUCUUAAUCGUAAAAUGCUUGCACAAGACUUAAUGAUUAUUCGUUCGCUGGAACCAGAAGUAAAAAUUGUUGUGGAUAGGGAUCCUAUAAAAACAUCUUUUGAGGAAUGGGCCAGACCCGGCCAUUUCUCAAGAACACUAGCUAAGGGCCCUGAUAGGAUGAAUUAUCGGAAGAGGAUCAUUUAA